GCCUUGUUCGCAUAAUCUGGUAUUGCGCUGGUUUCGAAAACCAGUUCCUUUGGAACUCUGGGUUCAAAUCCCAGGCAAGGCU
rnacentral:tRNA from 1 species